CUAUCUUGUGUGUCAUCCCUUUCAUUUGUGGCAUUGCGAUCAUCAUCUUUGUUCUCCGCAGACGUAGAGCACAGGGUCGUACAAGGCGUGGGACAAUCGGUAACGCCGAAGUACUGGCACCUCCAGGUGGAAAUAUUGCUCUGCUCAGUGGUACAAGUAAUUAAUGUGAGCUGAAGGAAUAAUGUGAGAGUACAGAGGAAUACUGCUGCAGGGUCCUAAGGUUACUAGUGAAAGCAAUCAGCCAAAAAGGAAAAUAGAGCCACAAGAGAGGUUAAAAAGGAAAUGAUUGAAAAGUACAAUAGAGGUGUUGGUGUAGUUCUGACUGCGCAGUAGAAUGCCUAAAUCUAUGAUUUGCACUCUACUGAAAAAUGGACCAUUAAAGCAUCUGAUGUUGCUAAAGGGGUGAAAUCUAUUACCAAGCAAAGACCCCAGGUAAUUGACAAUGUUGAAAAACUCCUCUUAAUCUGUAUAAAUGGAAAAAACGGUUAGCUGGUGACACAUCACAGGCAAUAACAUGUAAAAAAGCAAGAUUUCUGUAUGCUGACCUCGUUAAAGGCGCCUCUGGAACGAGCUGAGAUUCUACGAGUGAACCUUUCAAGGACAGUAGGGGUUGGUUUUAAAACUUCAAGUCAAGAAGUCUUGGAUGCCUAAACCUACAACUUCCACUUCUCUGAAAAAUAGAGACCAUCAAAGCAGCUGAUGGUGCUAAAUUAAUAAGGCUGGAGAACUCCUGUUUGGAUAAAUGGAAAAAGUCAGCUGGUGACUCUGGGAGUUCCCCUGGUCUUCGACCACCUCUGCUUUGCAAAGGAAAACCCCCACCUUGACGGAACAACGUCUCAGUGGCCAUCAGCUUACGUGCCUUUUUCUCUUCAUGCUGAGAAUACAGCCAAGGAAGACGAAGGGCAUGACGUCGAAUCGUGUCCAUAGUCGCCUGUCCCCACUCGACGCACGUUGAUUUCAGACUUGUGUAGCGGAGAGAGCAACCCUGCCACAAACACACCAUAGCACAUGCUUGCUCCGCAUCUCUCUCUAUACCUGAAUAAUUCUUCAUGAGGGCAUCGAGACGGUGUUCCCGUUCCAUGACGCUUUCGUCGGGCUUCUUUCCUGCUAUCUUCGACCAGUCGGGCUGUUUCUUAUAUUUCGCCUUUAUUCUAGUUCCUACCUAGUGCCAAAAUUUGCAUGGUUUCUGUUGUGACCCUGCCAUGUCCCACACACGUGUCCCCUGCCACCGUGCCUGUGUCCAUUCCACCCCGCUUGGCGGAUAAAUGUUGUCAAGGUCUAGGACCUCUUUCCAGAAGCGGUCACCGCCCACCUGUCUCGGGUCCGGAAAGCUCUGGGCCACGUCAAUCGGCUCUUGUACGUCCCAGUUUCUUUGCACCAUCGCAUACCGACAGAAUCCCUCCGAAUCUGGGCCCUUUGGGUCUGGCAUCUGGACCAAUGGGAACUGCUGUUUCUCGCCAGUAGCCCCCUUGGGAGAGAAAGGGAGACAUGGGCCCUCAUACGGUACUUGCCCUGGUGCAGCUGGGACUGGCCUCCUGCACUGGUUCUUUGUCAUCCUCUUCUGGAUGGUUGAUGAGCCAACGUCGUUCAGAGGGGCAGUCAGG